AGGUGUCCCCCCGUUCCCAGGUGCCCCCCCAGUCCCUGGUGUUCCUCGGGGUGCUGGUGUCCCCCCCAACUCCGGUGUCCCCUCAGCCCUGGGUGUCCCCAAAGGAGCCAGCAUUGCCCCAGACCCCCGUGUACCCAGGGGGGCCGAGGCCACCCCAGGCCCCGGCAGCCCCCCAGUCCUGGGGGGCCCCGAGGGAGCCGGUGUCCCCCCAGUCCCCAGGGACCCUUGGGGAGCUGGAGUCCCCCCAGACCCAGGUGUCCCCAAGGGGGCAGGGGUCUGCCCAGACAUUGGUGUCCCCCCAGACCUUGGUGUCCCCCCAGUCCCUGGUGUUCCCCCACCUCCAGAUGUCCCCAGGAGAGCCAGGGUCCCCCCAGAGCUUGGUGUCCCCACAGACCCCCAGAUCCCCGGGGCAGCGGGUGUCCCCCCAACCCCCGGCGUCCCCCCAGCCUAAAAUGUUCCCCAGGAGGCGGGUGCUCCCCCAGUCCCCAGUGUCCCCCCAGACCCAGGUGUCCCCAGGGGAGCUAGUGUCCCUCCAGACCUCAGUGUCCUCCCAGCCCCAAAUGUCCCCACGGAGGCGGGUGUCCCCCCAGACCCCAGUGUCCUCCCAGAGCUCGGUGUCCCCCCAGCCCCAAAUGUCCCCAGAGAGGCAGGUGUCCCCCCGGUCCCUGGUGUCCCCCCAGACCCAGGUAUCCCCAGAGAAGCCAGCGUCCCCCCAGUCCCUGGUGUCACCCCAGACCUCGGUGUCCCCCCAGCCCCAAAUGUCCCCAGGGAGGCAGGUGUCCCCUCAGUCCCCAACGUCCCCGGAGGAGCCCCUGUCCCUGCAGCCCCCAGUGCCCCCCUGGGACACGUCCCCCCCUGGCCCCGUGGGGGACCCCGGAGACCCCCCAGACCAGGUCCCAGGGCCCAGCUCAGGCUCCACGCGCCGGGGGGCACCCAGCACCCUGCACCACGGGGAUGCAUCCAGGCGGGAGCCCCCAUCCCAGAGGGACACAGCACCCCAGGACCAGGGGGACACGUCCAGCCAGGAGCUCCCAUCCUGGAGGGCACCCAGCACCCUGCACCACGGGGACGCAUCCAGCCCAGCACCCGCAUCCCAGAGGGACCCGGCACCCCGGGACCGGGGGGACACGUCCAGCCCAGCGCCCCCAUCCCAGAGGGCACCCAGCACCCUGCACCACGGGGACGCAUCCAGCCCGGCACCCGCAUCCCGGAGGGACCCAGCGCCCCGGGACCGGGGGGACACAUCCAGCCCGGAGCCCCCAUCCCGGAGGGACCCAGCGCCCCGGGACUGGGGGGACGCAUCCAGCCUGGAUCCCCCCUUGCUGUGGCCCUGGCGGGGGGCGCAGGGGGGGGCCAGCCCCCGCCUGAGCCGGACCCAGCNNNNNNNNNNNNNNNNNNNNNNNNNNNNNNNNNNNNNNNNNNNN
rnacentral:lncRNA from 1 species